rnacentral:rRNA from 1 species
AAAUUGAAGAGUUUGAUCAUGGCUCAGAUUGAACGCUGGCGGCAGGCCUAACACAUGCAAGUCGAACGGUAACAGGAAGCAGCUUGCUGAUUCGCUGACGAGUGGCGGACGGGUGAGUAAUGUCUGGGAAACUGCCUGAUGGAGGGGGAUAACUACUGGAAACGGUAGCUAAUACCGCAUAAUGUCGCAAGACCAAAGAGGGGGACCUUCGGGCCUCUUGCCAUCGGAUGUGCCCAGAUGGGAUUAGCUAGUAGGUGGGGUAACGGCUCA